rnacentral:rRNA from 1 species
AACGAACGCUGGCGGCACGUUUUAAGCAUGCAAGUCGAAUGGUAUGGGGGCAACCCCAGAGAAUGGCGAACGGGUGAGUAACGCGUAGAUGAUCUGCCUUUUGGUUGGGGAUAGCCUGUGGAAACACAGGGUAAUACCGAAUAAGGUUCGUGGGCUAUGGCCCGUGAAAGAAAGGGGCGUAUGCCUCGCCAGAAGAUGAGUCUGCGUCUGAUUAGCUAGUUGGUGGGGUAAAGGCCUACCAAGGCGACGAUCAGUAGCCGGCCUGAGAGGGUGUACGGCCACACUGGAACUGAGAGACGGUCCAGACUCCUACGGGAGGCAGCAGCUAAGAAUCUUCCGCAAUGGGGGCAACCCUGACGGAGCGAUGCCGCGUGAUCGAAGAAGGUCGAGAGAUUGUAAAGAUCUUUUCUGGGUGAGGAAUAAGUGUGGUAGGAAAUGACUGCAUGAUGACGUUAACCCAGGAAUAAGCCCCGGCCAAUUACGUG